rnacentral:tRNA from 1 species
AGCGGAAAAAGGGACUUGAACCC